rnacentral:rRNA from 1 species
GACGAACGCUGGCGGCGUGCUUAACACAUGCAAGUCGAACGGAAAGGCCCUGCUUUUGUGGGGUGCUCGAGUGGCGAACGGGUGAGUAACACGUGAGUAACCUGCCCUUGACUUUGGGAUAACUUCAGAAACUGGGGCUAAUACCGGAUAGGAGCUCCUGCUGCAUGGUGGGGGUUGGAAAGUUUCGGCGGUUGGGGAUGGACUCGCGGCUUAUCAGCUUGUUGGUGGGGUAGUGGCUUACCAAGGCUUUGACGGGUAGCCGGCCUGAGAGGGUGACCGGCCACAUUGGGACUGAGAUACGGCCCAGACUCCUACGGGAGGCAGCAGUGGGGAAUAUUGCACAAUGGGCGGAAGCCUGAUGCAGCAACGCCGCGUGCGGGAUGACGGCCUUCGGGUUGUAAACCGCUUUCGCCUGUGACGAAGGGUGAGUGACGGUAAUGGGUAAAGAAGCACCGGCUAACUACGUG